AGCAGCCGCGGUAAUUCCAGCUCCAAUAGCGUAUAUUAAAGUUGUUGCAGUUAAAAAGCUCGUAGUUGAACUUCGGGGUCUACCCAUUGGUCAGGCUUAAUUGUCUGCACUGGUGAGAUGGAUCUCUACCUUCUGAGGAACUUUCAUGCCAUUUAUUUGGUGUGGUUGGAAAUCAGGACUGUUACUUUGAAAAAAUUAGAGUGUUUAAAGCAGACUAUCGUCUGAAUACAUUAGCAUGGAAUAAUGAAAUAGGACGGACUGAUUCUAUUUCGUUGGUUUCUAGGAUCACCGUAAUGAUUAAUAGGGAUAGUUGGGGGCAUUAGUAUUCAAUUGUCAGAGGUGAAAUUCUUGGAUUUAUUGAAGACUAACUACUGCGAAGACAUUAGCCAAGGAUGUUUUCUAUUAAUCAAGAACGAAAGUUAGGGGAGUCGAAGAGACCCCUNAGAUACCGUCGUAGUCUUAACCAUAAACUAUAGCCGACUACGGAGUCGGACGAAGUUAAUUUUAUUAAUAGACGCG
rnacentral:rRNA from 1 species